rnacentral:rRNA from 1 species
AUUGAACGCUGGCGGCAUGCCUUACACAUGCAAGUCGAACGGUAACAGGUCUUCGGAUGCUGACGAGUGGCGAACGGGUGAGUAAUACAUCGGAACGUGCCCGAUCGUGGGGGAUAACGGAGCGAAAGCUUUGCUAAUACCGCAUACGAUCUACGGAUGAAAGCAGGGGACCGCAAGGCCUUGCGCGGACGGAGCGGCCGAUGGCAGAUUAGGUAGUUGGUGGGAUAAAAGCUUACCAAGCCGACGAUCUGUAGCUGGUCUGAGAGGACGACCAGCCACACUGGGACUGAGACACGGCCCAGACUCCUACGGGAGGCAGCAGUGGGGAAUUUUGGACAAUGGGCGAAAGCCUGAUCCAGCCAUGCCGCGUGCAGGAUGAAGGCCUUCGGGUUGUAAACUGCUUUGUACGGAACGAAAAGCCUCUUUCUAAUAAAGAGAGGUCAUGACGGUACCGUAAGAAUAAGCACCGGCUAACUACGUGCCAGCCGCCGCUGUAAGAC